CCAGGCCCUACGGGGUGCAGCAGGCGCGAAACCUCCGCAAUGUGAGAAAUCGCGACGGGGGGAUCCCAAGUGCCAUUCUUAACGGGAUGGCUUUUCAUUAGUGUAAAGAGCUUUUGGAAUAAGAGCUGGGCAAGACCGGUGCCAGCCGCCGCGGUAACACCGGCAGCUCUAGUGGUAGCAGUUUUUAUUGGGCCUAAAGCGUCCGUAGCCGGUUUAAUAAGUCUCUGGUGAAAUCCUGCAGCUUAACUGUGGGAAUUGCUGGAGAUACUAUUAGACUUGAGAUCGGGAGAGGUUAGAGGUACUCCCAGGGUAGAGGUGAAAUUCUGUAAUCCUGGGAGGACCGCCUGUUGCGAAGGCGCCUGACUGGAACGAUUCUGACGGUGAGGGACGAAAGCUAGGGGCGCGAACCGGAUUAGAUACCCGGGUAGUCCUAGCUGUAAACGAUGCGGACUUGGUGUUGGGGUGGCUUUGAGCUGUCCCAGUGCCGAAGGGAAGCUGUUAAGUCCGCCGCCUGGGAAGUACGGUCGCAAGACUAAAACUUAAAGGAAUUGGCGGGGGAGCACCACAACGCGUGGAGCCUGCGGUUUAAUUGGAGUCAACGCCGG
rnacentral:rRNA from 1 species